rnacentral:rRNA from 1 species
UACGUAGGGUGCAAGCGUUAUCCGGAAUUAUUGGGCGUAAAGAGCUCGUAGGCGGUUUGUCGCGUCUGCUGUGAAAACUGGAGGCUCAACCUCCAGCCUGCAGUGGGUACGGGCAGACUAGAGUGCGGUAGGGGAGACUGGAAUUCCUGGUGUAGCGGUGAAAUGCGCAGAUAUCAGGAGGAACACCGAUGGCGAAGGCAGGUCUCGUGGGCCACUAC